GACGAACGCUGGCGGCGUGCCUAAUACAUGCAAGUAGAACGCUGAAGGAGGAGCUUGCUUCUCUGGAUGAGUUGCGAACGGGUGAGUAACGCGUAGGUAACCUGCCUGGUAGCGGGGGAUAACUAUUGGAAACGAUAGCUAAUACCGCAUAAGAGUAGAUGUUGCAUGACAUUUGCUUAAAAGGUGCAAUUGCAUCACUACCAGAUGGACCUGCGUUGUAUUAGCUAGUUGGUGGGGUAACGGCUCACCAAGGCGACGAUACAUAGCCGACCUGGGAGGGGGAUCGGCCACACUGGGACUGAGACACGGCCCAGACUCCUGCGGGAGGCAGCAGUAGGGAAUCUUCGGCAAUGGACGGAAGUCUGACCGAGCAACGCCGCGUGAGUGAAGAAGGUUUUCGGAUCGUAAAGCUCUGUUGUAAGAGAAGAACGAGUGUGAGAGUGGAAAGUUCACACUGUGACGGUAUCUUACCAGAAAGGGACGGCUAACUACGUG
rnacentral:rRNA from 1 species